UGGUUAAAAACCGUGCCGAUUAAACAUUAAUCGCACAGCUGUGCCGAUUAAAGAUUAACCGGCACUGAUACGGGCCCGCGUGGAUCAUGCGUGCAUUAAAAACAAAAUGUCAACUUGAAAAUAAACAACUUGUACAAAAUGUACAUUUUCUGAGCUCCUAUUUUACAAUGAGCUCUUAUUUAUGCUUUCAUAACAAAGAAAAAAAAGAAAUAAAGGUUAUUCACAGUUUUUACAGGCUUGAAUUGAAAAUUAAUGUUCGGAAAGUGCUCUCAAAAUUGACCACACGCAGAGGCGCCGUAUGACUGCUCGCUUGAAUACAUAAAAUACAAUGUUUUUUAUCAUUGAUUGCUCGUGUAAAAUUCAAAUUGUGGAUAGUUGGGAAAUGUUGAACGUGAAUUGGGAAAAAGUGGGAAAAAUAAGCUGAAAACAAGAAAGAUAAUAGUAAAACAUUCAAGAUAAUAGGGCAAUGUCGCAAUUUUUUAGUUCUGCGAAAGUUUCCGAAGUUAAAUUAACAGGGAAUUCAAUUAGUCGGGCAAUAAAAUGCAAAAGUCUGUCAAAUUUCGUUCUGCCCCCUAAUUUUUCCGCUCCCGUACGCCUAUGCCAUUGUCCACUUGUCUUUGAUAUAACUGUAGGUACGUUACUCGCCUCGCGUGUUUCUACAACAUUGAUCUAUACACUAUUAAAGCUGACUGCUUUGUUUUAACUGUAAGGAGAUUAUGUAUGGCUCCUGUAGUGGAGGAAAAUAUCGCCAUUUGUCAGUUGCGAAGCACUGACAACUCACGAUAUUUUUAUACGAUAACCAAGUUCAAUAAUUGUUCCUUCAUUCACUUCAUGCAAGACACGAGGAAAAUGUAAAAAAGUACAAAAAUGUUAACGUAAAACUUGUCGUUGUUUUUCUUUACCGUCGGUCCAUGUAAAAUUUUCGCUGCUCCGCUCGAAAGCUUCUUUUUCCACGUUUUUAAGCAAACACACAAUAGGGCCAUUUAUACGGAUCAAAAUAAGACGCGACUUACAUAAGACGCCACUUAAAUAAGACGCGAGUUUGUCGUAUAAAAGGUACAAAAUUCUUAUGUAAGACGCGUCUUGGAUAAGACGCGUCUUACAUAAGAACAGGCCUUUUAGCUGUUCUUAUCUAAGUCGCGUCUUAAAUAAGAAAUUUUGGACAAAAAGUCUAACUACACAUGCCAGAAACUUGAAACAACGUAAAAUUAUUAGCCUUGCAUAUUAAAACAAAAACAAACAAAACAACAUUAUAGCUAUAGCAAAUAAAUAAGACCAAAGCCGUAGAGAAC